AGCCGGAAUCGCUAGUAAUCGCAGAUCAGAAUGCUGCGGUGAAUACGUUCCCGGGUCUUGUACACACCGCCCGUCACACCAUGGGAGUCGGAAAUGCCCGAAGUCUGUAGCUUAACCGUAAGGAGGGCGCAGUCGAAGGUGGGAUUGAUGACUGGGUGAAGUCGUAACAAGGUAAC
rnacentral:rRNA from 1 species